rnacentral:lncRNA from 1 species
AGUAUUGGGGAGGAGAUCGAAUGGUGGCGCUGGCUAGCGGCCGCCGUCGCAACUAUUUUGCGGGAAUAACAAUUCCGCCGCUAGUAUUCGUUCAGCCAUGGAGGACGAAGACUUGAGGCUCGUGAAAGGUAUGUGGAAUAGUUAUCUGCUCGAAAAGCAUCUGCAGGGGGGGUAGCAUUAGUCCCUGCUUGUCUCGCUUUGCUUUAAAUGUCGCCGCUAUCUCGUUCGAAGCAAAAACCAACCCACGUCUAGCCGCUAGCGAUUGGCCGCGUCGCUCCGGCUGCGCGUGCCAGGUCGUGCGUGAUUGACGCGGUGUGGCGAUGUUUGUGCGCUUCCUAGGUUGGAGAAACCGUACUCGCGGAACUCGCGCAUUGCUUUUCAGUGUCCUUGUCACUUGCAACAACAAUCAGCCAUAUCGGCGAGAGCAAGAGAUGCCUCGUUGAAGGCGAAGACGUAUCGAAGUCCGAUCAUGUGAUAGAGUGCAGCGUCGCCCCGGAGCUGACGGCUGACAGCGUCCGCAUCGUCGGAUACGUCCUCCAGUCCUGCGCUCUGCACAGCGAUCCGCAUACAGUGCAUCUCACUCUGAACAAAGGGGAGAUUGUCUCUCUGUGCUGCACGUGCCCUGCAGGGCAAGAAUGCACGUUUCCACUGCGUUUUUUUUUAACGAGAGGGGUUAGGCGAUAAACCACGUUUUAUUAGACGACAUCAGUUCCUUCAUCGUUCUCUUAAUCUGCAAGGUAGUUUUGUUAUGAAAUGUUGCACUGCCUAGGCAUUCCGUAGUUAAGAACUGAUUUAAGUGAGGAAAUCUACGAGGUGUUGUAGAAGUGGUGUAGAAUGCAAGAGAUAUAACAGAUGUGUGUUUGUGCUGCCCCCAGAAAGUCAAGCGAAUGCAAGCACUGCACUGCUGUCCUGCUGAAAACCAACAGGAUGCAAGAGCUUCCAGUUGUCAAGCACAGACUUGCCGCAGGCUUGGGGCCAGCAUGCGAAGGAUGUCGUCAAGACCAAGUAUGCAGUGAGGUCUCUCAUGGAGAUCCCCUUCUGCCCAAAGUUCAAGCGACCUGCCUUGCCAGCCGUCGAGCGUUGUGUCGUGGACAGACUUAUGGAAGGCCUUCCGCACAUCUGUCCUGUCGCUAUUCACAAAAGGAAGAGAACACGAAAAGAGACAGGUGGAGCCAGCACUUCAGCAGCUGUGCCUCGACCCUGAAGCCUGCUUGAAGCGCUUCAGGACCUGCCUGAGGAGGAGACCGAAAACCUGCUGGAGCAACUCAAGCGCAUAAUGACACGAGAGGCUAUUGCGGAAGUUGAGCGCAUGACAAGGGCACAGGCCUCAUCAUCUGAUUGGAUGCUGUACAGGAGGGGUAUGGCCACUGCAUCCAUAUGCCGUGGGUUCUUUACCCGCGCUGUCACUAAAGGCUCAACCACGGCCGCACAACUUGAGAGGUCUCCUUGACAAAGUGUUGCAAGUCAGCACAUUUCAGUCAGCGUCAAUGAAGAGGGGACAGCAGAAGGAGGGAACUGCGAAAGAGAAAUACCUAUCAAAGCUGGUGAAGGAAGGACAUUGUCCUAGGAUUGAGAACGGAGGGCUGAUAAUAUGGGGCCAAAUGCCCAUUAUGGAGAGUUCGCCCGAUGGGAUCGUGGUGUUUGAGUGUGAAUGUUGUCAGGGAAAGCGGGUGCUUCUGGAAGUCGAAUGCCCAGAGGUCGUCUAGAAUUCGUUCUGUAAAAAAACUAGAGAGCCCCAGUCCGUCUACUACAUGCAGAUGCAGGUUUGCAUGGGUAUCACUGCACUCGCAAGUUGCGACUUUUUUGCUUAUGUCUCAGAAACAGACUACAAGCUAGUUGAAGUGAAGUAUGAUCAUGCUCACUUCGAGGAAUGUGUGCAUGCUGUACGGUCAAUAUAUGUGGACUAUCUUUUCGCUGAGCUAAGGGGGGCAUUUAACUAGCUUCCUUUUUUGUUUUUAUCCAAGGUGUGCUGCAGUACUGUGCGCUAUGGAAGCCGUGCAAAACGACUACUGUGCAACCCUCUUGGGCAAAUCAGGCAUAGAAACAAUGAGGCACAAUUGAAAUGAACUUCUUUAUUUCUCAUUUUUUAGCACACGCUUAGCAUGGAUAUAGCUUCGCAUCAUAACUGACACGCCGUCAUCAAGACUACCCAUGCACCCAUCAAGACUAGGCGCACUGAUGUCAAGUGUAUUUGUCGUGAGCCAAUUCAUAAUAACUAGAGGCUUAUUUUUUUAACUAUUUACUCAUUUAUUUAGCAUACGUGCAAUCUAGUUGAGAUACUGUCCCAUCAUUUUCAUCUCUUGAUGACAGCGCGUAAAUGACGUAAGGCCAAGCAAAAGCCUCCUGCAAUAUUCACUGCUGACUACCGUGCCCAAUAUUGCAGCUACAUGACAUAUUAGUUCCAAAGCGAGCAGUGCUCGCUCACAAAGGCACCGCCAUGUUUCCCUGCUGCCUUAAUCUUCCAGUCACGUGACCUAAAAUUUCCCCUCGUAAGGAAAUGCGAUUAAAUUUUUACUGCGGUUAAAGUUAACCGGCUUUUAGAAAAAUUUCAUAAGCCUCGCACAAAACUGGUCUGAAGUUGCACUGAUCCCAUCCAGCAUACCGAGUUUUCUGUUACACAUUUUAUAGACUAGCACCUUUUCCGCACAAAGCCUUCAUCACAUUGCGAGCACUUUUCCCGAUGUUUGAACCCGCAUAAAUGAUGAUACAAGCCGCUAAUACGCAUAUUUACUCUAUUUACAUGUGGCUUCCUUGCCAGCUACAGAAACUUAUCUUCUGCAAAAAUUGGCAGUGAAAGGUUUACGAUACCUGCAAGGAGCUGCAUUACAUCGUCAAACAGGAAGCAGGUGCUUAGGAAAAUGAUGCUGCAGAAUCUUGAACACUUUUAGUCGUUGAAUGGCACGUUCCACGUGGACACGUGCAAGUGCGAUAUCUUGGUUCCCGAGUGCGUCAUGUUCAGUCAUCUGUUGCUUGUUCCUCAGAAAUGGAGGCUGCACAAGCUCGACAAGAGCCUCGUCGCAAAGCUUGUCAAUAAGGAAGCCCUUGUCGACCAUUACCUGCUCGUACGGUGAGCACCUCUCCAGAACUCGAUUCCUUUGUGAUAAAAGAAUGCGAAGUCCGUCCCCCAAAAGCACGGCUCACGAACGUAAACAUGCCAGUUGGUGCGUACCCAAUCAGCACUUUUAGGGUGUAGGUUUUCUUAUAAUGACUGUACAUCAGUAUCCUGGAUGCAAGGUCAAGUGGUCGCUGGAUGGGGAUCUCAGUGCAGUCCAGAAUAACUUUCGUGCGAGGAAACUUUUAAAGUAAACUGUGAGGUUGUUCUCAAUAGACUGGUCGCAGGGAACAUACAGGGCUGACCCUAAAACCGAACUCAGGACACAAAGGGACAUCUUCACGUUCUCAGACGCCGUUGUUCUAUGUAUCCUGAAAAGGAACGCUAGGAAACUGAUAAUGACAUCAUGAUAGAGCUUCAUCAAUGUGAUGAGCACAGUGUCACCUGAAGAAAGCAGGAAGCUCCUCGAAGAAAGCUUUGCUCGCACACUAUCGAACUCUGUUACAAUGUUUCUCAUUAGUUGUAGAGAUCCAACCCCAGUUAGUGAGGCAAGCUCGCUGUCACUUUUAGCUUUCGCCAAGCGAACGUGGGGCCCUAGCUUCGCCUGCAACAUGCUGUCUACUUGAACGCAGGCAUCCUGGGCAGGCAAUUCCUUUUGGAUGUUCAAAAGGGAGUCGUGGGGCCCUACAAAAAAAAAAAAAAAAAGAAUGUAACAGAAAUUUACAUUUUCAGCAUUUCCUUACAGUGUGUGUGCAGUCAUGACCCACAUGGAUGUGAACGUCGGAUCACCAACCACUCCGUACUGGCAGUGCCAUGGAGCAGUGGCCAUAGUGCCCUGCAGCUCAGUUCCAGAAGCGUCAAAAGGCGAACAAGCUACCAUGGCCAUAGCUUCAUGAUGCUGCAGGUGCGGAGUGAUUGAUGGUCUUAUGUUCACCUUCAUAUGUACCAUGACUGCAGCGAGGCUACACAAAAUACAGCCGUGUCAUAUGGUGCCUGUAAGCAGCUUUUUGCGGCCCACAGUGCAACCAAAGUAUUUGCCACUAUCCCGGAAACUGUAGAAUUUCUUUUUUGGAAAGCUGAAACUAUCCCAUGCUCCCCGUCCUCCUCUACCCCAUCCGAUUCCCCGCAUCGUCCCCGAUCCGAUAACUGCUCGGAGUACACUGACAGCCCUCAGAUGCUCAGGAAUUUUCCACACGCCCUCGCAUCUCACCAUCACCUUGAUGCCUUCAGUCCUAAUUAUCAGCCCUCUUUGUUCACCUCAGGAGAGGCUCGCCCCUCCCCCCCCGGACGCCGCUGAUGCGGUACCAUGGUGCUAGGCCCCCAUGGCCGAUAUUCACCAAGCUUCUCCAGACGCCUAACACUUAUUUUUUCACCUGGCUCUCGAGUAAGGGGCUCUUUAUUUUAAUAAAGAUUUGUCCUCCUGCCCAAGUGUGAAUCUUUCUGCUUGACCAACACUGCUUUUUCAUCAAGUUCCGCCAAAAUGUUAUGACCCUAAAGGUGAAAACGGCAGAACACGCACAAAAUGAAUACAACAGCAUAGGUGGCAACUAUACCAAAGCAUAACUUCCAUAAAUGUUUCCAGCAAUGGAAGACUGCUGGGUUAAGUGUUCAAAUGCGCAAGGAGCAUACUUCGAAGGAAAUUUAGGAGUUGGACACCGCAAGUAUAACCAAUCUUUUUUUCAGGCAGUCGCUGGAAAUGAAAUGUUUUGUAAUGCCGAAAUCACAAUAAAUUGGCAUGCGGUGGUCACAAAACUUGCAUUGUAUUUCACUGUCACUGCAGUGACUGCUGGUCUCCGCGCAGUGCUCGUCACAGGUGAGAGUGGCCUCGCUGUCCCCAUCACAGGAAACGGUCU